ensembl:lncRNA
GUCUACAAUAUAGAGAUCAACAGCUCUUUUAAGAGCCAACUCUCACAAACCUUGAUAAAAACUAAAAGAGCUAUUACUGAGUCUCAGCGAAUCUUGCCAUGAUCAGCCCUUCCCAGAAGAGAAGGAAGACCAAGGAAAUUAUUUGUUCAGGAUGAGGAAUGAAGACGGCCAUCUUGUGCUCAAACAAAGACAGAAAGUCCACUGAUGAUCUCAUCAGUCAAGUGAGGGGUUUUGACCAAGUGAUGCUCUUGAAAGGAGUGAAAGAAGAGGAUGUGGUAAAUUGUCUUAAGAGAAAAAGUUUCUCAAAAGGUCCUAAAACAGCUUGAAGAAUGGUCUGGGAUCUGUCUGAAAAUGGGAUGUUAGGACUGAGAGAUCCUCUUUCUGAGAAAAAGCUAUACCACAUCACUGCUAAAUAUCAACCACAAACUGUUUACAGACACGAGAAGAUCACAAUGGAGAAAUGAAACCAGUUUAGAUGUGAUGAUAAGGAAUCAUUAUUUUCUGAAACAGUAUCACAUGUCUUAUAUGUAUCACAUGAUCUGUAUCACAGUUGACUGGAUGGAAUUUUUUGACUUUUAACCACAUUUCAUUACUCAUCUGUGUGAACUGAUUAAUUUAUGAUAUUAAUGAAUUUUUGAUUAUCCAUUAUUAUUUUCCUUGAAUCUUAUUUGUCUUGAUGCUACUUUAUCAACUUAAUUGUUAUGUCUUGUCAUGUCUUGUUCCAGUUCUUUCUUUUUACUCUGUCU